GACGAACGCUGGCGGCGUGCCUAAUACAUGCAAGUAGAACGCACAGUUUAUACCGUAGCUUGCUACACCAUAGACUGUGAGUUGCGAACGGGUGAGUAACGCGUAGGUAACCUGCCUGGUAGCGGGGGAUAACUAUUGGAAACGAUAGCUAAUACCGCAUAAUAUUGAUUAUUGCAUGAUAAUUGAUUGAAAGAUGCUAUUGCAUCACUACCAGAUGGACCUGCGUUGUAUUAGCUAGUAGGUGAGGUAACGGCUCACCUAGGCGACGAUACAUAGCCGACCUGAGAGGGUGAUCGGCCACACUGGGACUGAGGCACGGCCCAGACUCCUACGGGAGGCAGCAGUAGGGAAUCUUCGGCAAUGGACGAAAGUCUGACCGAGCAACGCCGCGUGAGUGAAGAAGGUUUUCGGAUCGUAAAGCUCUGUUGUAAGAGAAGAACGGGUGUGAGAGUGGAAAGUUCACACUGUGACGGUAUCUUACCAGAAAGGGAUGGCUAACUACGUG
rnacentral:rRNA from 1 species